rnacentral:rRNA from 1 species
CUGGCGGCGUGCCUAACACAUGCAAGUCGAGCGGGGACAUGCGACGGAGUCAAAGUUUCGGAUGGAGACGAAGAUGUAUGUUCUAGCGGCGGACGGGUGAGUAACGCGUGAGCAACCUGUCCCUUACAGGGGGAUAACACAGCGAAAGUUGUACUAAUACCGCAUAAGACCACAGCAGGACAUCCUGCGGGGGUCAAAGGAGCAAUCCGGUAAGGGGUGGGCUCGCGUCCGAUUAGAUAGUUGGUGAGGUAACGGCCCACCAAGUCGACGAUCGGUAGCCGACCUGAGAGGGUGAUCGGCCACAUUGGGACUGAGACACGGCCCAAACUCCUACGGGAGGCAGCAGUGGGGAAUAUUGGGCAAUGGGGGAAACCCUGACCCAGCAACGCCGCGUGAGGGAAGAAGGUUUUCGGAUCGUAAACCUCUGUCCUUGGUGAAGAGUUUGAGACGGUAGCCAAGGAGGAAGCCCCGGCUAACUACGUGCCAGCAGCAGC